CAAUAGCGUAUAUUUAAGUUGCUGCAGUUAAAAAGCUCGUAGUUGGAUUUCGGGUGGGAAUGGCCGGUCCGCCGUUUCGGUGUGCACUUGCUACGCCCACCUUGCUGCCGGGGACGUGCUCUUGAGUUCACGCUCGGGACACGGAGUCGGCGAGGUUACUUUGAGUAAAUUAGAGUGUUCAAAGCAGGCCUACGCUCUGAAUACAUUAUCAUGGAAUAACACGAUAGGACUCUGGCCUAUCUUGUUGGUCUGUAGGACCGGAGUAAUGAUUAAGAGGGACAGUCGGGGGCAUUCGUAUUUCAUUGUCAGAGGUGAAAUUCUUGGAUUUAUGAAAGACGAACUACUGCGAAAGCAUUUGCCAAGGAUGUUUUCAUUAA
rnacentral:rRNA from 1 species